GUCUACAGCCAUGCCACCCUGAACGUACCCAAUCCCAUUUGAUCUCGCAAGCUAAGCAGGGUCAGGCCUGGUUAGUAUUUGGAUGGGAGACCACCUAGGAAGACCACGUGCCGUAGGCG
rnacentral:rRNA from 1 species